AUUGUACGCUGGCGGCAGGCCUAACACAUGCAAGUCGAGCGGCGCGUCGGACGGGUGAGUAAUGCCUAGGAAUCUGCCUGGUAGUGGGGGAUCACGUCCGGAAACGGGCGCCAAUACCGCAUACUAUCAGAUGAGCCUAGGUCGGAUUAGCUAGUUGGGGGGGUAAUGGCCUACCAAGGCGACGAUCCGUAACUGGUCGGAGAGGAUGAUCAGUCAAACUGGAACUGAGACACGGUCCGGACUCCAACGGGAGGCAGAAGUGGGGAAUAGUGGACAGUGGGCGAAAGCCUGAUGCAGCCAUGCCGCGUAUGUGAAGAAGGUCUUCGGAUUGUAAAGCACUUUAAGUUGGGAGGCGUUACCAACAGAAUAAGCACCGGCUAACUUCGUGCCAGCGGCCGCGGUAAAC
rnacentral:rRNA from 1 species